rnacentral:rRNA from 1 species
GCGUGAGUGAUGAAGGCCCUAGGGUUGUAAAGCUCUUUCAGUGGGGAAGAUAAUGACGGUACCCACAGAAGAAGCCCCGGCUAACUUCGUGCCAGCAGCCGCGGUAAUACGAAGGGGGCUAGCGUUGUUCGGAAUUACUGGGCGUAAAGCGCACGUAGGCGGGUCGUUAAGUCGGGGGUGAAAUCCCGAGGCUCAACCUCGGAACUGCCUUCGAUACUGGCGACCUAGAGUCCGGGAGAGGUGAGUGGAAUUCCGAGUGUAGAGGUGAAAUUCGU